rnacentral:rRNA from 1 species
AAAAGGAAACGGAGCCGGCAUCAGGCACAGAAUCCUAGCCCAUAACGCCUAGUUUCACCACGCCUCCAAAGGUAGUCAGCAGUGAUCAACAUUGUCUAUAGGCGAAAGCCUGAGUCAGUUAAAGAAAAGAGGGUCGGCCAACCCGGUGCCAGCCGCCGCGGCCAUACCGGCGGACUCAAGUUAAUGACCACCGGCGUCAAGCGUGAUUAAAGAACCUCUAAAUUAGAGUUGAAUAAUGGCUUAGCUGUUGAAAGCUUACCUAUUAGAACCCCAAAAACGAAAGUUACUCUAAUUAAACCCUUGAAUACACGACAGUUUGGGUACAAACUGGGAUUAGUAGAUACCCCACUAUG